rnacentral:rRNA from 1 species
ACGAUCAUACCCACUGGAAAACUCGGGAUCCCGUCCGCUCUCCCAUAGAUAAGCCAGUGAGGGCCGGAUUAGUAGUUGGGUCGGUGACGACCAGCGAAUACCUGGUGUUGUAUG